rnacentral:rRNA from 1 species
AUUGAACGCUGGCGGUAGGCGUUAAACACAUGCAAAGUCGUGCGAGAAAGGUAUCUUCGGAUAUGAGUAGAGCGGCGGACGGGUGAGUAACGCGUAGGAAUCUACCUAGUAGAAGGGGAUAGCCCGGGGAAACUCGGAUUAAUACCGUAUACCUCCUUCGGGAGAAAGAAGGCCUCUCAUUGAAGCUUUCGCUACUAGAUGAGCCUGCGUAAGAUUAGCUUGUUGGUGAGGUAAAGGCUCACCAAGGCGACGAUCUUUAGCGGGUCUGAGAGGACGAUCCGCCACAUUGGGACUGAGACACGGCCCAGACUCCUACGGGAGGCAGCAGUGGGGAAUAUUGGACAAUGGGCGCAAGCCUGAUCCAGCCAUACCGCGUGUGUGAAGAAGGCCCUAGGGUUGUAAAGCACUUUAAGUUGGGAAGAAAAGUUAUUAGUUAAUACCUAAUAGCCGUGACAUUACCAUCAGAAUAAGGACCGGCUAAUUCCGUG